rnacentral:rRNA from 1 species
CCUACGGGAGGCAGCAGUGGGGAAUCUUGUGCAAUGGGCGAAAGCCUGACACAGCAACGCCGCGUGCGGGAAGAAGGCCUUCGGGUCGUAAACCGCUUUCAGCAGGAACGAAAAUGACGGUACCUGCAGAAGAAGGUGCGGCCAACUACGUGCCAGCAGCCGCGGUGACACGUAGGCACCAAGCGUUGUCCGGAUUUAUUGGGCGUAAAGAGCUCGUAGGCGGUUCAGCAAGUCGGGUGUGAAAACUCUGGGCUUAACCCAGAGCCUGCACCCGAAACUGCUGUGACUAGAGUUCGGUAGGGGAGCGGGGAAUUCCUGGUGUAGCGGUGAAAUGCGCAGAUAUCAGGAGGAACACCGGUGGCGAAGGCGCCGCUCUGGGCCGAAACUGACGCUGAGGAGCGAAAGCAUGGGUAGCAAACAGGAUUAGAUACCCUGGUAGUCCAUGCCGUAAACGGUGGGCACUAGGUGUGGGUUCCAACUAACGGGAUCCGCGCCGUCGCUAACGCAUUAAGUGCCCCGCCUGGGGAGUACGGUCGCAAGACUAAAACUCAAAGGAAUUGACGG